GACGAACGCUGGCGGCGUGCCUAACACAUGCAAGUCGAACGGAAAGGCCAUGCUCUUGUGGGGUGCUUGAGUGGCGAACGGGUGAGUAACACGCGAGUAACCUGCCCUUGACUUUGGGAUAACUUCAGGAAACUGGGGCUAAUAUCGGAUAGGAGCUCCUGCUGCACGAUGGGGGUUGGAAAGAUUCGGCGGUUGGGGAUGGACUCGCGGCUUAUCAGCUUGUUGGUGGGGUAGUGGCUUACCAAGGCUUUGAAGGGUAGCCGGCCUGAGAGGGUGACCGGGCACAUUGGGACUGAGGUACGGCGCAGUCUCCUACGGGAGGCAGCAGUGGGGAGUAUUGCGCAGUGGGCGGAAGCCUGAGGCAGCAGCGCCGGGUGCGGGAUGACGGCCUUCGAGUUGUAAACCGCUUUCGCCUGUGACGAAGCGUGAGUGACGGUAAUGGGUAAGGAAGCACCGGCUAACUACGUG
rnacentral:rRNA from 1 species